rnacentral:rRNA from 1 species
CGGCUUGUCACGUCGGAUGUGAAAGCCCGGGGCUUAACCCCGGGUCUGCAUUCGAUACGGGCAGGCUAGAGUUCGGUAGGGGAGAUCGGAAUUCCUGGUGUAGCGGUGAAAUGCGCAGAUAUCAGGAGGAACACCGGUGGCGAAGGCGGAUCUCUGGGCCGAUACUGACGCUGAGGAGCGAAAGCGUGGGGAGCGAACAGGAUUAGAUACCCUGGUAGUCCACGCCGUAAACGUUGGGAACUAGUGUGGGC